rnacentral:rRNA from 1 species
AGUGAACGCUGGCGGUAGGCCUAACACAUGCAAGUCGAACGGCAGCACAGUAAGAGCUUGCUCUUACGGGUGGCGAGUGGCGGACGGGUGAGGAAUACAUCGGAAUCUACUUUUUCGUGGGGGAUAACGUAGGGAAACUUACGCUAAUACCUCAUACGACCUACGGGUGAAAGCAGGGGAUCUUCGGACCUUGCGCGAUUGAAUGAGCCGAUGUCUGAUUAGUUAGUUGGCGGGUUAAAGGCCCACCAAGGCGACGAUCCGUAGCUGGCCUGAGAGGAUGAUGCGCCACACGGGAACGGAGACACGCUCCAGACCCCUAGGGGAGGCGGCAGUGGGGAAUAUUGGACAAUGGGCGCAAUCCUAAUCCAGCCAUACCGCGUGGGUGAAGAAGGCCUUCGGGUUGUAAAGCCCUUUUGUUGGGAAAGAAAAGCAGCAGGUUAAUACCCCGCUGUUCUGACGGUACCCAAAGAAUAAGCACCGGCUAACUUCGUG